AUGCCUUGGAGAUCACACCAGACCGCAGCAUGAUUGCUGCUGCAGGUUACCAGCAUAUCCGCAUGUAUGAUCUCAACUCCAAUAACCCUAACCCCAUCAUCAGUUACGACGGCGUCAACAAGAACAUCGCGUCUGUGGGCUUCCACGAAGACGGCCGCUGGAUGUACACGGGCGGCGAGGACUGCACAGCCAGGAUCUGGGACCUCAGGUCCCGGAACCUGCAGUGCCAGCGGAUCUUCCAGGUGAACGCACCCAUUAACUGCGUGUGCCUGCACCCCAACCAGGCAGAGCUCAUCGUGGGUGACCAGAGCGGGGCUAUCCACAUCUGGGACUUGAAAACAGACCACAACGAGCAGCUGAUCCCUGAGCCUGAGGUCUCCAUCACGUCUGCCCACAUCGACCCCGACGCCAGCUACAUGGCAGCUGUCAAUAGCACUCUCAUCACUUGUACCUCUUGCCCCCGGAUUUCCCUUCUCCUGGCCUUUGUCAUGCUGUCCCUCUAGCUGGUGCCUGUCUCCUGUGUAUUUCCGUUGGCCAUCGGCAUCCUCCAGGAAGGU
rnacentral:sRNA from 1 species